CUCACAGCUCUGUUGUAAACCUGCACCCAGGUUGUUUAAAUACAAAUUAUAAACAAAUAGAUAUACAUCUUGACAUUUCUGUUGAUCCAAUGUCAUGUACAAUUUCAAAUAUAUCAAAAAUAAAUAUAGGUCAUGCCAGAUAUAAAGGUAAGAUUAUUUGGUUUAUAACCCCAAAUAAAGCAUAAUUUAAUCCAUAAACAUUAUACACAUUCAUUAUUAGUUAAGUGUGGUUCUGUAUAAAAAUAUUGUGUCUAGUUUUGUGACACAAUUAACUAGGGAGAAUUACUAUAAGUGAAAUAUGACUAACAUAUCGUCUACAUCAAUACUAUUAAUAACUAAUAACAAGAUAUUUUAACAGCUCCUGAAUAACCCAUUUAUACUAUCACCUGAAUGUAGACUUGAUGGAUUAUUUAAUCAAUAAAGUUGACUGAGACUAUCCAACAAUAGACAAUUCUCUUAAAAA